rnacentral:rRNA from 1 species
GCUUCUUUCCUCCCGAGUGCUUGCACUCAAUUGGAAAGAGGAGUGGCGGACGGGUGAGUAACACGUGGGUAACCUACCCAUCAGAGGGGGAUAACACUUGGAAACAGGUGCUAAUACCGCAUAACAGUUUAUGCCGCAUGGCAUAAGAGUGAAAGGCGCUUUCGGGUGUCGCUGAUGGAUGGACCCGCGGUGCAUUAGCUAGUUGGUGAGGUAACGGCUCACCAAGGCCACGAUGCAUAGCCGACCUGAGAGGGUGAUCGGCCACACUGGGACUGAGACACGGCCCAGACUCCUACGGGAGGCAGCAGUAGGGAAUCUUCGGCAAUGGACGAAAGUCUGACCGAGCAACGCCGCGUGAGUGAAGAAGGUUUUCGGAUCGUAAAACUCUGUUGUUAGAGAAGAACAAGGACGUUAGUAACUGAACGUCCCCUGACGGUAUCUAACCAGAAAGCCACGGCUAACUACGUGCCAGCAGCCGCGGUAAUACGUAGGUGGCAAGCGUUGUCCGGAUUUAUUGGGCGUAAAGCGAGCGCAGGCGGUUUCUUAAGUCUGAUGUGAAAGCCCCCGGCUCAACCGGGGAGGGUCAUUGGAAACUGGGAGACUUGAGUGCAGAAGAGGAGAGUGGAAUUCCAUGUGUAGCGGUGAAAUGCGUAGAUAUAUGGAGGAACACCAGUGGCGAAGGCGGCUCUCUGGUCUGUAACUGACGCUGAGGCUCGAAAGCGUGGGGGAGCAAACAGGAUUAGAUACCCUGGUAGUCCACGCCGUAAACGAUGAGUGCUAAGUGUUGGAGGGUUUCCGCCCUUCAGUGCUGCAGCAAACGCAUUAAGCACUCCGCCUGGGGAGUACGACCGCAAGGUUGAAACUCAAAGGAAUUGACGGGGGCCCGCACAAGCGGUGGAGCAUGUGGUUUAAUUCGAAGCAACGCGAAGAACCUUACCAGGUCUUGACAUCCUUUGACCACUCUAGAGAUAGAGCUUUCCCUUCGGGGACAAAGUGACAGGUGGUGCAUGGUUGUCGUCAGCUCGUGUCGUGAGAUGUUGGGUUAAGUCCCGCAACGAGCGCAACCCUUAUUGUUAGUUGCCAUCAUUUAGUUGGGCACUCUAGCGAGACUGCCGGUGACAAACCGGAGGAAGGUGGGGAUGACGUCAAAUCAUCAUGCCCCUUAUGACCUGGGCUACACACGUGCUACAAUGGGAAGUACAACGAGUCGCUAGACCGCGAGGUCAUGCAAAUCUCUUAAAGCUUCUCUCAGUUCGGAUUGCAGGCUGCAACUCGCCUGCAUGAAGCCGGAAUCGCUAGUAAUCGCGGAUCAGCACGCCGCGGUGAAUACGUUCCCGGGCCUCGUACACACCGCCCGUCACACCACGAGAGUUUGUAACACCCGAAGUCGGUGAGG